AAUAAAUAAAUAAAAUUGGCAGCAGAGAACUGGAAGGAAAGGCGGCCAAAGAGGAAUUGGCUUUGGGGGUGACCAGUGAAAUAUACUUGCUGGAGCGUGUGCUACGAGUGGGUGCUGCUAUGGUGACCAGUGAGCUGAGAUAAGGUGGGCCUUUACCUAGCAUGGACUUAUAGAUGACCUGGAGCCAGUGGGUUUGGCGACGAAUAUGAAGCGAGGGCUAGCCAACAAGAGCAUACAGGUCGCAGUGGUGGAUAGUAUAUGGGGCUUUGGUGACAAAACGGAUGGCAAUGUGAUAGAUUGCAUUCAAUUUGCUGAGUAGAGUGUUGGAGGCUAUUUUGUAAAUGACAUCGCCGAAGUCAAGGAUAGGUAGGAUAGUCAGUUUUACAAGGGUAUGUUUGGCAGCAUGAGUGAAGGAUGCUUUGUUGCAAAAUAGGACGCCAAUUCUAGAUUUAACUUUGGAUUUGAGAUGUUUGAUGUGAGUCUGGAAGGAGAGUUUACAGUCUAACCAGACACCUAGGUAUUUGUAGUUGUCCACAUAUUCUAAAUCAGAGCCGUCCAGAGUAGUGAUGUUGGACAGGCGGGCAGGUGCAGGCAGCGAUCUGUUGAAGAGCAUGCAUCUAGCUUUACUUGUAUUCAAGAGCAAUUGGAGGCCACGGAAAGAGAGUUGUAGGGCAUUGAAGCUCGCCUGGAGGGUUGUUAACCUCUCUGCGCACCGAACCCGUUAUUUGUUGUUUGUAUCCUAUCCGGGCCUCUUGUUGGGAGUGUAGACUGCUUUUCCGGAGGUUGCUGUCUUCGGCUUCCACGGCUCGUGACAUGCGACCAUCGUUGAUGGUCUUGCUCCUCUUGCUGUGCUCCUUCGACUCCGCUAUCAGAUGGGGGAGCUCCGGGCUUUCUCUCUCCAGUUUCCUGUAAAAAUUAAACUGUGGUGUUAAAUAGUUUCAACUGUAAGUUCCCUUGCCCCAAUGGGGUGUAAACUAGAAUGCUAGCUUCUCUCAUUCUUUGUCCAAAUUCUUCACUUCUGCUUUUCUGUAAUGUUGUAACUACUGAGUUGACAAAAAAAAGUGUUUCUCUUCCCCUUUUUCUAAACUAUGUUGGCUGUUUGAAUGGUCCCUUUUUGUGAUGAGGGGAAAGAAUAUAAUAUAAUUGGCUUUAAAGUUCCAAACCCUCACUGGUUUGAACGGUGUCAGCAUUUUUAAAAAUGUUGUAUUCUUUGGAACUUAACAUGAAUUGUGGGAUUCUGAGUACUUUAUAGGUAGAGGACAUUGUACAGUACAAGGCUAUGUCAAUAACUCAAUUUAGACAAAAAUGUAGAUAGAUCCUUAUACUGUAGACUCAAGCUUUCAUAGUAGCUCCUCUCCCUUCUUGUCUUGAAGCUUGGUCCAGUAGUAGCUCCUCUCUCUCGUCUUGAAGCUAGGUCCAGUAAUAGCUCCUCUCUCUCAUCUUGAAGCUAAGUCCAUUAAUAGCUCCUCUCUCCUUGUCUUGAAGCUAGGUCCAGUAGUUGUUCCUCUCUCUCGUCUUGAAGCUAGGUCCAUUAAUAGCUCCUCUCUCCUUGUCUUGAAGCUAGGUCCAGUAGUUGUUCCUCUCUCUCGUCUUGAAGCUAGGUCCAUUAAUAGCUCCUCUCUCCUUGUCUUGAAGCUAGGUCCAGUAGUUGUUCCUCUCUCUCGUCUUGAAGCUAGGUCCAUUAAUAGCUCCUCUCUCCUUGUCUUGAAGCUAGGUCCAGUAGUUGUUCCUCUCUCUCGUCUUGAAGCUAGGUCCAUUAAUAGCUCCUCUCUCCUUGUCUUGAAGCUAGGUCCAGUAGUUGUUCCUCUCUCUCGUCUUGAAGCUAGGUCCAGUAGUAGCUACUCUCUUUCUU
ensembl:lncRNA